rnacentral:rRNA from 1 species
UACGAGGGGUGCAAGCGUUGCUCGGAAUUAUUGGGCGUAAAGGGUAGGUAGGUGGUCCUAUUUGUCUGAGGUGAAAUCCCAGGGCUUAACCCUGGAAGUGCCUUAGAAACGGUAGGACUAGAGUUCUAGAGGGGUUUGUGGAAUUCCCGGUGUAGCGGUGAAAUGCGUAGAGAUCGGGAGGAACACCAGCAGCGAAGGCGGCAAACUGGAUAGAUACUGACACUCAACUACGAAAGCGUGGGUAGCAAACAGG